rnacentral:rRNA from 1 species
GAUGAACGCUGGCGGCGUGCCUAAUACAUGCAAGUCGAGCGAACGGACGAGAAGCUUGCUUCUCUGAUGUUAGCGGCGGACGGGUGAGUAACACGUGGAUAACCUACCUAUAAGACUGGGAUAACUUCGGGAAACCGGAGCUAAUACCGGAUAAUAUUUUGAACCGCAUGGUUCAAAAGUGAAAGACGGUCUUGCUGGCACGUAUAGAUGGAUCCGCGCUGCAUUAGCUAGUUGGUAAGGUAACGGCUUACCAAGGCAACGAUGCAUAGCCGACCUGAGAGGGCGAUCGGCCACACUGGAACUGAGACACGGUCCAGACUCCUACGGGAGGCAGCAGUAGGGAAUCUUCCGCAAUGGGCGAAAGCCUGACGGAGCCACGCCGCGUGAGUGAUGAAGGUCUUCGGAUCGUAAACCUCUGUUAUUCGGGAAGAACAUAUGUGUACGUAACUGUGCACAUCUUGACGGUACCUAAUCAGAAAGCCACGGCUAACUACGUG